AUCUAUGAUGUGGACAUUGAACCAACAAUAAUUUAAAAUGCUCCCAAGCCUCAUGGAACGACUCACCUUCCAUUUGUGAGAAAGUAGCGAUCUUACCUCUAAACU